ACGUAAUUGGAGUAAUGUGGGGGAAGGCUACUUCUGUAUAUAUUGAGAAAAGCAGCACUUUUGGAUUGCUUCAUGUUUUUUGGGUAGUUGAUGCGAAAUGGGCUCUACCACCAAAGUUUUCUUAACUCAGGGCUGCUUAAACUAGUUGAUCAGUUCUCUCCAUAUUGAUUAGUGCAUAUAUGUGCAAUUUUUACACUGUGUAUGUGUUACUGUUGCUGCUGAAUUCAUAACUGAAUUGCUCUAGGUCCAGAAAGGCAUGGCCAGACUGGGAAAUUCUGUCCUUUCUCACGCAUCAGCAGACGUAGCAUCUUACCUUUUAACUGUGAAGCCAAGACAGUGGAUUCCAAAACAAUUUUUGUUCUCAGAUCCAUGUCUGGAAGCAGGAUAAGAGAGGUGAAAAAAUGUUUGACCUGCUUGACUUUUAUCAUCAUGUGGAGUAUAAGACCUUUUAUUUACUAUUGUAUAUUUGUUUGCUAGGGCCUGACAAUAUUAUGAAAAAGAUAAGUUUGUUGACAUGAAUAGCUUUUAGAAAAUAGACUGAGAAAAUCUGAGAAACAAAGAUUGAUAUUACAAGAUUUCUUUACAAAAUAAGUUCUGAAAUAUACUAAAACAUUUCUUCAUCUGUAGAGUUUCUGAGAAACAUAAUGAUUACAUUCAAUGUCUUUUACUAAUAAUGGAAAAUACUGUUUGAUCAUGUACUUGUUCUUGUUUCAGCCAAGACAGUGUUGAUAG
rnacentral:lncRNA from 7 species